rnacentral:tRNA from 1 species
GCGGGUAUCGUAUAGAGGAAAUUACCUCAGCCUUCCAAGCUGAAGAUGCGGGUUCAAUUCCCGCUACCCGCU